rnacentral:misc_RNA from 1 species
GACGGAGGGGGCUAGCGUUGUUCGGAAUUACUGGGCGUAAAGGGCGCGUAGGCGGAUUAGUAAGUUGGAAGUGAAAUCCCAGGGCUCAACCUUGGAACUGAUUUCAAAACUGCUAGUCUAGAGUUAAGUAGGGGAUGAUGGAAUUCCUAGUGUAGAGGUGAAAUUCUUAGAUAUUAGGAGGAACACCGGUGGCGAAGGCGAUCAUCUGGGCUUAUACUGACGCUGAGGCGCGAAAGCGUGGGGAGCAAACAGG